CCACAGCCUGUGUUGGGGGCCAAAGAAGACACAGUGACAGGCCUUGGAGAACACAAGGUCCAACCUUUGAUGUUUACACAAGAGAGAAAUUGGGCAGGGAGAGCCACCUACCCCACAGCUCAGGGCUGGAUGAUGGGCCCAACUGCUUGGUGUCUGGGAGCAGAGUGGCUGGGACUCCUGCAGGAUUCCCGGGCCAGCCUGGGGAGCCAGGCUGAAGAGAACCCAAGGGAGGGCCUCCUCUGCCCACCCCGGGGGCAGCCACCAAGGAACCUGCGACCAGGAGAGGAGGGGAGGGGGCUUUCCCCUUCCUGCCCUGACCAACCACCCUCAGGAAGCCACCAGAAGGUGCUCGCCUGCCUGCCCCUGCCCAGCCUGGAUGCCUGCCCUCUGCUUGGAUAGCAAGGGGUAGGAAGCUUCUCCCAGGUCCCGGUGGGGGGCACAGAGGUCAGAAGGCUCUGGGAGUCAGGCUAGGAGGGGGGUUUCUGGAAAGGAGGAUUUUGCCUUCCCACCCCCACUCUUUCCUCCCCACAGGGUUGGGUGGAGGAGGCCUGGGCUGGAUUAGAUGUGCAAAUCGUCCAACUUGGCCCUCAGGCUUCUGUGGUUGAACCUUGACCUGCUCUGUCUGCAGAACUCCAGGGACUGGGGACCUGGUCAAGGUGGGAGAGAGGGACCCCUUCCCAAUGAGUUCAGCAAAUGAGCAACAGCCGGAGACCUGACCCAGGGCAUUGGGACCCCAUAGGCUUAGGUUCCUCUGUGAAAUGCCGCAAUGGGCGCCACGUUUGGGCACUGGGCCUCAGUGAGUUCCAUGUGGGCGCGACCACAGGCCACCAAAAGCCAAACCUUCAUUGUGUGCACAAGAUAGGCAAGGCCCCUCCUCUCUCUGAGCCUCUGUCCCAGCAGGGCAGGAGACACAAAUGGUACAUGAGGAUAAGGUUAGUUUGUGAUAUGACAGGGUUGGACAUAGUCUCCUUGGGCUUCUUUGUGCCUCUGGAGAAGCUGGGGACCUGCGCCUGGAGGGGCAGAUUCCAGUUUUCUGCCAGAACAUCUUGAUAACACAUUGCUUUGGGCGCUUGUGCAAGGAUCUCCGGGUCACUGGACGGAAGCCCCACGCACUUCAGACACCACAUCUCCUCUGCUCCCGCAGUGGCCCCGGCACUUGGAGUGGUGUCUGGCACCCAGUGGGCAUCCAGUACAUGAUGGAUGGAUGGAUGAGUGAGGUUUUGUCUUAGAUGCAGACCCUGAGACAAGGAACUGCAUGCAGAUAACUUUACCUGGAAGGCAAUUCCAGGCAGCACUAGUGGUGGGGCAGUGGGGAGGUGAGGCUGAGAAGGGGCAGAAGUCAGUAAGCAUUAAUGACAGUGCGUUAAUGAGUGAACAAGCCUGUGGGCAAAGAGGCUCCACUCAGCUGGGGAGCUCUGGGAGAUGAUGGGGAACAUGCCUCCGAUUGUCCCCACCCAAGGGGUGACAGAGCUGACAUAUUGAUGCCUCAGCUCCUGUCUGUCCCCGCUGAGGUGGCUCUGAGGUGGGGGAGGGGUGUUGACUUCUGACUUCCCCUGCACGUGGGGACUGUGGGUGCUCAGGGUAUAAGGAGGGAGGGGGCAUCUGCCACAAUGUAGAUGCUUAGUGGCAUGGCUGGGUCCCAGGACACCCUGCUCACACCGCUUUCCAGCUGUUCUCCAGAAAGGCUGCCUGCUUGGUAGUGCCUUAGUUUUCCCACAUUGAUAACAUCCAGCCUUUAAAAAAAUUGUACAAAAUCUGCAUCACAUAGAAUUUACCAUCUUAAAACCAUUCUUACAUGUACAGUUCAGUGGCAUUACGCACAUUCAUGGCAUUCUGCAGCCGUCCCCACCAUCCACUCCAGACCUUUCCAUCUUCCCAGACUGAACCUCUGUCCCCAUGAAACAGUCACUCCGUGUCCCCUUUCUGAACCCCCAGCCCCACCACCCACUUUCUGUCUCUGUGGAUGGGGCUCCUCUGGGGACCUCCUAGGAGUGGGAUCAGAGAGGAUUCAUCCUCUUACAUCUGGCUUAUUUCACUGAGCACCGUGUCCUCAAGGUCCACCCACGUUGUA